GCUCAGGCCCCUUCUGUGCACAGUUCACCUCACCUUGGCAUAGCCCUAGUGCUCCCGAGUGUAGGCAGUGACAAAAUGUGGUAAGCUUGGGGUUUGCUAACUGUCAGAGGUAGGAAGUGUGCAUGGCUGGAAAGGGUGCUUUCACCAAGCCCCAUGUAUCACAGAGGCUUUUCAGAUAUGCACUGAGCAGUCACUUGGGAUGUGCAAACUAAAAGACUGCAUAAGAUUCGACUGAAUGAAUGCAGUCUGUAGUCUGGGACAUGUGGGAUCUAGUCCAUGCACAGCUUGAGAUCUGGAGUACAGUGCUGUGUUUGCAGGCAGUCACUAUCUUAAGCCUCCUCAAAGUGAGGUAGCUUAUGCACACCACUUUCAGACCACAAGAAGGGUCUGUGGGUCCCAAAUGUGUCAGCGUUUUCCAGCUGCCUUGGUAAAACCUGCAGCUGGUUUUAAUCGCGUCCCUCGGUUCUGAGAUGAUGAGCUCAGAGAAGCUUUCCUCAAGCUUCAAGAUCCCACUGGAACUUGUGGUAUUUGGACAUUGUAUUAAGUACUUUAUCUAAGGUCUGUGGAAAUACCUACUUACUGAGCUCUGCUCAUGCUCACACACAUCUGCUGCUCGCUUACAGUGGAAAUCUCAUAGACUUUUCCCUUUUGCAUCAUGGGAAACCAUCUCAGAAAUGGCACUCUGGAGAGUUAAACCUCUUUUUUUAGAAAAGACUGGAGGAAAAGAAAGAUACAGGACAGCAUCCUAGUUGCAGUCCAAUACAGGGGAAGGAAUGGGGUAAAGGAGGACUCUUCUCCCUCUUACUCCUCUCCAGCAAAGGAGUAAAGCAGAAAAGAGCUGUGCAGUUGUGGGCUCAGGGAGCAUCCCUGGGAAGUGAAAGCGCUGGAACCCUUGUACCCUGGCAGAUGAGAAGGUGCUCUACCUUUCCCUCCAGGGUACCAGUAGAGAGUCCAGCUGUUUCUUUCUCCCACCCUUACAAGUGAGGUGAGAUCAGAUGAGCUGGGGGUUAGGCUCAGGUUCAUCAAAGACAGUCAAGUUCUCGUGGUUCUCUCUC